GUCAGCGAUCAUUUCUGAGAUUGUGACGUCAAAUUUAUUGGUUACGCUCUUUGUAUAUAAAAGGCGAUUCAUCGGUUAUUUAGGCAGAAUUUCAGAUCGAUUCAGCAUCUGAGGUAAUACUGGCUGCUGUUAUCUUCGAAAGGAAAGCAAAGUUUUCAUUUUCCAAAUCUUGGGAAAUCAUUUAAACAUUCAUUGUAAGAAACACCUUCAAUCUUGUGAACGCUAAUCGAAAUCAAGAUGGGAAUUUGUUUUUCCAAAUGCAGUGUUGAAGAUGGUGAGUUCUUAAAGCUUUUACUUUCCAUGUUGUUGCUGGCAGUUUUGUUAUAUUUGUAAAAGUAUGAUCUGUAGGUGUUUUUUAAUUUUCUAAGCUUUUUUAAGAUCCAAAUGAUACCGUCUACUGAUGAUGCUAAGAUCUAAUGAUGUUAAGAAUAUUUUUUGUCUGUCCUUUUAAUUAACCUUUUAGCAGGGAGCCGUAAAUAAAUUUAAACAAAGCAAAAUAAAAAGUAAAUUUGACGAUACUAAAAAGUAAGUUAAAUUUGUUUAUAUGUUUGAAAUUGCUUUUUAGAAUGCACAGCAAAAUGCACAAAGCGUUCGUUGACAAGAAAUUGGAAGAAUAAGCAAAGACUGAAUUCUUCUACAAGGUCAAAGAGAACCAACACAGUUGCAGAUAUCAAGCCUUGUCUCGAUAUUUCCCAACCAUUUGCAACAUCGACACCAAGAGGAUGCCAAACAAAGAUGGUGCCGAAAAGCUACAACAUAUUUUCAGCCACCAAUACUGUAACAUCCGAUUCACUGGUCCACGACGUAACCAUGAUCAACCAAGGACAGAUUGAUAAAGAUUCUUAUGAAUUCGAAUCUGCCUCUGAUUUUUUCCCAGAUCCAGAAUCAGAUUUGACAAUCGUCUCUGUACUA